GACGGUACCAUCAGAAGAAGCACCGGCUAACUACGUGCCAGCAGCCGCGGUAAUACGUAGGGUGCGAGCGUUAAUCGGAAUUACUGGGCGUAAAGCGUAGCGCAGGCGGUUAUGUAAGACAGAUGUGAAAUCCCCGGGGCUCAACCUGGGAACUGCGUUUGUGACUGCAUAACUAGAGUACGGCAGAGGGAGGUGGAAUUCCGCGUGUAGCAGUGAAAUGCGUAGAGAUGCGGAGGAACACCGAUGGCGAAGGCAGCCUCCUGGGCCAGUACUGACGCUCAUGCACGAAAGCGUGGGGAGCAAACAGGAUUAGAUACCCUGGUAGUCCACGCCCUAAACUAUGUCAACUAGUUGUCGGGUCUUAUUAGACUUGGUAACGUAGCUAACGCGUGAAGUUGACCGCCUGGGGAGUACGGUCGCAAGAUUAAAACUCAAAGGAAUUGACGGGGACCCGCACAAGCGGUGGAUUAUGUGGAUUAAUUCGAU
rnacentral:rRNA from 1 species